GUCCCUGUAGUAUAUCGCACAUUACCCUGGUCUUGUAAACCAGAAAAGGGGGAAAACGUUCUCCCCAAGGACU
rnacentral:tRNA from 1 species